CGCUACGGACUUAAAAUCCGUCGACUUUAUAAGUCGUGAGGGUUCAAGUUCCUCUAUCCCCA
rnacentral:tRNA from 2 species